GACGAACGCUGGCGGCGUGCUUAACACAUGCAAGUCGAACGGAAAGGCCCUGCUUUUGUGGGGUGCUCGAGUGGCGAACGGGUGAGUAACACGUGAGUAACCUGCCCUUGACUUUGGGAUAACUUCAGGAAACUGGGGCUAAUACCGGAUAGGAGCUCCUGCUGCAUGGUGGGGGUUGGAAAGUUUCGGCGGUUGGGGAUGGACUCGCGGCUUAUCAGCUUGUUGGUGGGGUAGUGGCUUACCAAGGCUUUGACGGGUAGCCGGCCUGAGAGGGUGACCGGCCACAUUGGGACUGAGAUACGGCCCAGACUCCUACGGGAGGCAGCAGUGGGGAAUAUUGCACAAUGGGCGGAAGCCUGAUGCAGCAACGCCGCGUGCGGGAUGACGGCCUUCGGGUUGUAAACCGCUUUCGCCUGUGACGAAGCGUGAGUGACGGUAAUGGGUAAAGAAGCACCGGCUAACUACGUGCCAGCAGCCGCGGUGAUACGUAGGGUGCGAGCGUUGUCCGGAUUUAUUGGGCGUAAAGGGCUCGUAGGUGGUUGAUCGCGUCGGAAGUGUAAUCUUGGGGCUUAACCCUGAGCGUGCUUUCGAUACGGGUUGACUUGAGGAAGGUAGGGGAGAAUGGAAUUCCUGGUGGAGCGGUGGAAUGCGCAGAUAUCAGGAGGAACACCAGUGGCGAAGGCGGUUCUCUGGGCCUUUCCUGACGCUGAGGAGCGAAAGCGUGGGGAGCGAACAGGCUUAGAUACCCUGGUAGUCCACGCUGUAAACGGUGGGUACUAGGUGUGGGGUCCAUUCCACGGGUUCCGUGCCGUAGCUAACGCUUUAAGUACCCCGCCUGGGGAGUACGGCCGCAAGGCUAAAACUCGAAGGAAUUGACGGGGCCCCGCACAAGCGGCGGAGCAUGCGGAUUAAUUCGAUGCAACGCGUAGAACCUUACCUGGGUUUGACAUGGAUCGGGAGUGCUCAGAGAUGGGUGUGCCUCUUUUGGGGUCGGUUCACAGGUGGUGCAUGCCUGUCGUCAGCUCGUGUCGUGAGAUGUUGGGUUAAGUCCCGCAACGAGCGCAACCCUUGUUCACUGUUGCCAGCACGUUAUGGUGGGGACUCAGUGGAGACCGCCGGGGUCAACUCGGAGGAAGGUGGGGAUGACGUCAAGUCCUCAUGCCCCUUAUGUCCAGGGCUUCACGCAUGCAACAAUGGCUGGUACAGAGAGUGGCGAGCCUGUGAGGGUGAGCGAAUCUCGGAAAGCCGGUCUCAGUUCGGAUUGGGGUCUGCAACUCGACCUCAUGAAGUCGGAGUCGCUAGUGAUCGCAGAUCAGCAACGCUGCGGUGAAUACGUUCCCGGG
rnacentral:rRNA from 1 species